rnacentral:rRNA from 1 species
AUUGAACGCUGGCGGCAGGCCUAACACAUGCAAGUCGAACGGUAACAGGAAGCAGCUUGCUGCUUCGCUGACGAGUGGCGGACGGGUGAGUAAUGUCUGGGAAACUGCCUGAUGGAGGGGGAUAACUACUGGAAACGGUAGCUAAUACCGCAUAACGUCGCAAGACCAAAGAGGGGGACCUUAGGGCCUCUUGCCAUCGGAUGUGCCCAGAUGGGAUUAGCUAGUAGGUGGGGUAACGGCUCACCUAGGCGACGAUCCCUAGCUGGUCUGAGAGGAUGACCGGCCCACCUGGAACUGAGACACGGCCCAGACCCCUACGGGAGGCAGCAGGGGGGAAUAUGGCACAAGGGGCGAAAGCCUGAUGCAGCCAUGCGGGGUGUAUGAAGAAGGCCUUCGGGUUGUAAAGUAUUUUCAGGGGGGGGGAAGGGAGUAAAGUUAACACCUUUGCUCAUUGACGUUACCCGAAGAAGAAGCACCGGCCAACUCCGU